UGUGUACCACCAAUGCCCAGCUUAUUUUUCUCAUUCUUAUUCCAGGCUAGGGAUCAAUAAACUACAAUGUGGAAGAAGGAGCCAGCUGUUCAAGAAACCGGGAAAAGAAUAUUUUAGGCAGAAUGAUGACGUAUAAAAGCCUUGGAGUCAGAAAUUAUUUGCCAUGCUUCGUGGAUGAAGGAAGCUUUUACACAUGUUCCUCUGAUAUAAGAGAAAACAAGGACUCAGCAGGGUAGUGAAUGCUUCAAUUUCUCCAGAUCCAGAAGUUGUGGGGAAGAGCACAGAUGAAUGUCCUUCUAAACUUCAGCUCCCUCUGACCUCCAACUGCCUCCAUCAUAUUUGUCUCAUGGAUCUCCAAAGGCAGAAGUACAGCAUCUUCACAGCUGCCUUUCUGCCUUUCAGAUACCUAAGUCAUAUAGUUUUAGAGCACUUUGACCCUCCUGCCUGUCUUUGAUAGGGAAUCUGUAAUUAGAUUAGGCUUCUUCAAUUUAAAGACUCUUAUGUAAAUUCUUUGUUUCCCGUGAGGCAAUAUAAUCCCAUGAAUUAGGGCAUGGCCAGUUUUUGGAGACCAUUGCACAGCCUGCUAAGGCACUCUUCUUUAAGGACAUCUCAUUUUCUUUGAGGACUAGUGCUUCACAUAGUAUUUCAUGUACUGAUAUUCCAAGACUUUAUAUAUAAAGGUAAGAGAAUGUCUUAAAAUCUUAUCUGUUUCAAGCCUGUCCAGAAAUAUCAAGAGUUGGUUGUUCUGACUCCUAAAAAUAUGGUGAUGAAACAGCAGCAGAGUGAGUGAAUUUUAUUUUUUGUUCAUUGUUGGUGGUUUUAAAAAAAUCCCCCCGUGUAAUUAUUGUGAACACCUUGCUUUGUGGUCACUGUAACAUUGGGGGGUGGGACAGGGAGGAAAGUAAUAGUCCACAUGUCUCUGGCAUUUGUUCAGAGCAGUGUGCAGAAUGUAACGCUCCUUUAUAAGAAACGUUUUAUGUUUUUAAAAUAAAUUAAGUGAAUCUAUUUUUGGUGGUCUUUCU
rnacentral:lncRNA from 1 species